GGAGAGAGUCUGACGCAGCCACGCCGCGUGGGUGAUGAAGGUCUUCGGACUGUAAAACCCUGUCGUCAGGGACGAAGGUGCUCGUGUUAAUAGCGCGAGUGCUUGACGGUACCUGGAGAGGAAGCCCCGGCUAACUCUGUGCCAGCGGCCGCGGUAAUACAGAGGGGGCAAGCGUUAUUCGGAAUUAUUGGGCGUAAAGGGCGCGUAGGCGGUUUUUUAAGUCAGAUGUGUAAUCCCCGAGCUCAACUUGGGAACUGCAUCUGAGACUGGGAGGCUAGAGUACUGGAGAGGGUGGUGGAAUUCCUCGUGUAGCGGUGAAAUGCGUAGAGAUGAGGAGGAACACCAGUGGCGAAGGCGGCCACCUGGACAGUAACUGACGCUGAGGCGCGAAAGUGUGGGUAGCAAACAGGAUUAGAUACCCUGGUAGUCCACGCUGUAAACGAUGAACACUUGGUGUGGAGGGAGUUGACCCCUUCCGUGCCGGAGCUAACGCGUUAAGUGUUCCGCCUGGGGAGUACGGUCGCAAGGCUGAAACUCAAAGA
rnacentral:rRNA from 1 species